UCGGUGCUUUGCUGCAUUCCCCGCCAGCUGUCUAAUAUUAUGCGGCGUGUCUGUCCACAUGCUAUCGGUGCCUGCAUCAAAAAACCUUGACAGCUCAGUUAGAUACCAGACUGCGUAAAUCGACUUAUGCUCAUAGCUAAACUUGGCAUGUCACAAAAUCAAUCUUGGCGCAACAGUGCGGCAUACGCAGGGAAGACAGGAGGAGAGCAAAGCUAUAGCUGGAUUCCUGUCGGCGGUGUCUCCAUAAUGUGGCGGUAUAAAGAGAUUUCGAGAUGCAGUCUGUUCGUAAAGCGUUCCCCUAACAGUUCGUGACCCACUGCUGCACCUUCACUGUUUACCUCUCACAGAGCGCGUCUGACGCGUGGAAAAGGGUGCAAUUGUCAAAAGGCGGAAUGAUCUGGACUCUCAAGUACCACGAAAAGGCAGAAUCAUGCUAGUCUUGUAUCAACUCCAUUCUUCUACUCGUAAAUCUCAAAACCAACCAGCCUAAAGAUGACGUUUUCAUGUUUGCGCUCAUCUAGGAUACAUCCCUAUCUCGUUUAAAGAUAAUGCAUCAAGGGACAUCUGCUACAUUUAACAGAAACAUUGGAAUAUUUCUGUACUUCUUAAGUGUUUAUUUCAUUAAUUGAAUUGCAGCUCAAAAUGAAAUUUCCAACGGAAAACCCAAGAAAACCAGGGAACUGGAACCCCGCACCAGUGUCAGUUCAGACCAAGCUGGUGCCACCAAAGAAGGUUCAGCCAGGGAUGUUGCAGUCAAGCCUGGUGCAGGCCAGUGUGGCCACCAUGCAGAACCCAAUGGGGUGCCCAUUACCUCGCCUUUCUGUCUCACGUCCCUCGAGUGUGGUGGCCAGUAUGGAAGCCGUUGUAGAUGGCUCAGCCCUGCUCACAGUCAUGAAGUGGAAGACCGUUCUAGCUGUGUUUGUGGUGGUGGUUGUAUAUCUGGUAGCCGGUGGUCUGGUUUUCAGAGCAUUGGAACAACCCUUCGAGAGCAACCAAAAAGAUGCCAUCACCUUUAAGAAAGCUGCCUUCCUGCAGAAACAUCCCUGCGUGACCCCCAAUGAGCUGGAAGAGCUCAUCAAGUGCCCAUGUUUGGAUGGUUUGCCCGUGUAUUGGAUUUAGUCUUCGGAUUACCCUUUCAACAAUGACUGCAUUUGGAUCCUCACCCUUGUCUCUCUGUGCACACUCUGUUGAUGCGGUAAAUGCUGGAGUGAGUCCUAUUGGAGAUACAUCAUACAACUCCAGUCACUGGGAUCUAGGAAGUUCUUUCUUUUUUGCUGGAACUGUGAUCACAACAAUAGGUAAAAUAUUUCAUGUAAAUUUCCCUGUUUAUCACUUAACAAAUGAUUCAUACAAGCCACAUUCAUAUUUUUAAACUCAAGCCAAAUGAAAUGCAUUUUCUUUGUCAUAAACUUAUGGUCACACUUCCUGUCAGUUCACCAGACCACAUGACCAACAAUGAAAUGUGAUAUUGAUACCUUUUUAUAUUUAUAUGCUGUGUCUGAAAUUGGUCCUGCUUUCGGCUGUCAACAAAUGCUUAGUAAUGCUUUCUAGGCAAUUGUUUGUUUUUGUUGGGCACAUCCUUGCUACAGUUUGAAGUAUUGAAGAGAUAAAAUAAAUUGUUGGAAAAUAAAUAAUGCUGUGAGUUCUGUAAUAUUAUAAAACACAUCAAAUGUAUGUGCAUUCUCUAAAAAGACAAAGUCAAUCAUUCCAAAAUGUUUUCCUUUUCACCUUUUUUGCGGGGCAUUUCUUAGAAGGACUGAUGUAAGUCACUUAAAGGGAUAUUUCACCCAAAAAUCAAAAUUCUGCCAUCAUUUACUCACAUUCGAGUUGUUCCAAAUCUGUAGAAAUGUCUUUGUUCUGAUGAACACAGAGAAAGAAAUGUGGAAGAAUGCUUAUAACCAGACAGAUUUUGCCCCCCAUUGACUACCACAGUAGAAACAAAUAUAUGUUAUAAAAAAUUGCCCCAGAACUGUUUGCUGUCCUUCAUUCUUCAAAAAGUGAAAAAUCCUGCGUUAUGCAUUUCUUCCCCAUAGAAGUCCAUUAUAAGGAAACAGCUUAACGUACCAAAACAACAACCAUGGAAAACCAAAAUAAAUGCAUUUGUUUAUCACUGAAAUCAAACAUAAACAUGAUAACAGAAAAGUUUUAUGUUCUCAGUUUGUCGCUGCCUUGAGCCAUGUUAUGUGGUUUCUUUAUAAUGAACUUUAAUGAGUAACAAGCUUAACGUGAGACUAUUCUUUUUCAUGGAAUAAAUGCUUUUAACAAUAGCUAGUGUUUAUUACAAUUAAGGUUUAAUAGAAAUUAGUUUUUAAGUGGUUGUUGUUUCGGUAGGUUAAGCUGUUUCAUUAAUCAUUAUAAUGGACUUUUAUGGGCGAUAUUUAUCACUUAAUCAGGACUCGAUGUGUGCAGCACCAUGGCAACGUUCUUGAGCAGUAAAUUUGAGCUCACCUGGUCAUUGUUUAGAUGCGUUAAACCUCGUUAAGCGUUUUAGAAUGUAAUCCGGCUCGGCUCAUCCCAACCGCAGAUUCAGGUUUACAAACCACUUUUAUCUCCGUUUCUAAGUCAAUACUCGCAUUUUCCCCCUUUAUGAACAUCAACUUCUGCUACACAAUAAAAACACCUUUCAUGGUUUGAUCAACGCAAAACGCAGGUAUUUUGAGUUUGUUAUAGGGAGAAAAUCACUUCCUGCCCUCCAUCGGCACUUUGCGCAGUGCCGUGAUGUCAUGUGUAAACAACCUCUUCAGGUUAGUAGCUAGAUGCUGAUGGGACUUUUAAUGCCAUUUCUUAUUGGCUAAGCUAUCCAACAGGCAACAGAGAAGGGCAAACAUUUAGUUUAGUUUUACAUUUCACUUUUGAAAAUGCUCUUGGUAGACACAUUAUUGUCAGGAUUUGACAAGGGAGAGAACCCAAAUGCAGGCAGGCAGAGGUGAAGGGGUUAACAGAGAAUUUAAUUAAACAAUAAACACAAAACAGGAACCCACGAGGGCGUAAAGCAAAAACACAGGUAAACAAAAACGAAGACUGACUAAACACUAGACUAACCAAACACUAGACAAAAACUAAACUGAACACUUACUAGACAGAACGGAGGAAUUCACAAAAGACACUGGCAUGGGAAGCAGGAAGGCACAGAACAUGGAACGCAGCAAGACACCAUAUACAAUACACGAGCACAGGACAAAGAAACAUGAGGGCAUUAAAUAGGGAAAGACAAACGAGGGAUAAUGACACAGGGCAGGUGGGAAAAAUCAGACACGGCAGGGAAGCAAUACAUGAAACGAGAGGGGCGGGGCCAAUGACAAGACACGAGAAAGCACAUGAGAUGUCAAAACAUAAACAACUCAUGGCUUUCUCACAUAAAACCUAAGGGCUCUACCCCAAUCCUGCCACACGACUAGAAAUUCAGAAACAAGAGGGCAGGACCGUUACACAUUAUGUUCAAUGGGGACCUUAUGAGUUGUUUUCUCAUUAUACACAGUAAACCUUUGCUACUUAUAAAGUAGCUUAUAAUUAAUCAUUUGGUGAGCUGGGUUUUUAGUGGUAGCAAAACCAUUCUCCCAGACAGUGUCCCAAUCAAUCAUUGUGUGAAGUUCUCUCUCCUAGAAGCCCUCAAUCGGAAUAUUUGAAUACCAUAGUACCACAAGUGAAUCAUGAACUAUACUCACAAUUUCUCUAGAAGCCAUACUACAAUCUAUCCAUUUAAUCAUAUGAUGAGGAAGAUAAUGUAACCAACCAUGGUACAUCCUAAACUUUCAACACAGAUCUCAAUCUUAAAUAAAAGAAAAAGGAAAAUCCCGGGAGAGAGAAUUAAUCUUUUAGAGUCUGAAAGGACUUGAGCCCAUCACAAUUGCAUGAUGUUUUAAAGUGUAAAUAUCAAAUUCAACCCAGCAUUUGGAUACAAAUUAUUUAUUACUAGUACAGAGAUUAUUAUUAUGCCAAAUGGGGGUAGAGUCACUAUAAGAGUCUGACGCUCCCAUAAUCUUUUCUGCUGCUUUCUAGGCUUCAAUAGAAUGGCAUAUAAUUGGACCGACCUUAACCAGGGGUCUCAUUUAUAAAACUGUGCGUAGGAUCUAAAAGUGUACGUGCGCCCGAAAGCCAGAAAAUAGCGUACGACAAAAAAUAUUCAGACUUAUAAAACCGUGCGUACGCACACCUGUAAGCAAUAUUCGCUUUAUAAAUCACAGAUCACCUGCAAGUGUGCGUACGUGAAUCAGGUUCAUAUCCAGCCCUGUACACGCCCAUUUUUACCCAUAAAUAGUCAAUGCAAAGCACCUCAUGAAUGCUGAUUUGUGUAUUAAUAAACCUGGCAUACAAUCCGCUUGUUAAGCCUGACAUCACGCACCAUAAUGGACGUAUACCGUUUCUGGGUCAAACCGCUAUCAGAUGCCAUAGGAAAAUAACAAAAAAAAAAUGUAAAAGUGCCGAAAACCCCCGAUCCCAUCCUUUAUCUCAGCAACGAAAUUACAAAUGGCCGAACAUUAGAUUCACUACGAUUUACAAAUUGAUAAUUGUUAUAAUUAUUAAUAAUUAUUAUUAUAAUUAGAUUAAAGCCCAAGAAGGUCUCUGCAACAUUUAUAUGUUUACAGCAUUUAGACUGAUCAUUAACACCUCAUUAAAAUCACAUCAUUAAUUACUGGUGUCCUUCACCUGAGAUCAAAUUCGAAGACAUAAUUUUAAAGAUGAAUGUUUCUUCAUUCCGGUUUUGUUAUGAACUAGUUAGGACUGAUAAUGAGAACAUAAAGAGAAACGAUUGUGCGAGAGCUUAAUGUGCUGUAUUUCCAGACUUUGACAUUUGAUGAUUAUGCACAGUAUUUAAGGAAAAUAUAUUUAGUAUUUAUUUACACUGUGUUCUGCAAUUAUCGUAUUUGAUGCUGUCCGUAUUCAGUCAGAUC